GUCGGGGUGGCAGAGUGGCUUAACGCGAUGGCUUGCUAAGCCAUUGGGCUUCUAAAGCCCGCCCGGGUUCGAAUCCCGGCCCCGGCG
rnacentral:tRNA from 1 species